AUGUUGAAGAGUAUCUAUGAGCUAAGAAUGUUUAGGAGAGUAACUCUGCUCUGGAGCAAUCUCCAGAACAGAAUUCCUGCUCCAGCCUCAAGAUCUCCAACACUGCAAUCUAGGACCUGCAACUGUUCGUCCUUGCAAACAACCGAGUUCUUCUUCUGGAAUGCCUUGGAGACAAGAGACCAUUUUGGCACUGCGAUUUGUUGGACAAGAGGUGUACUGUUGACUCGAGGAGAGAGGUGGUGA
rnacentral:rRNA from 1 species